AUGCUGCAAAGAAAUGACCAGAACAUUUUCCUUGAGCCUUGCUCCCUACCUUACAAUCCACUCAGGUUGCCUGGCUGGUCCAAAAGCUAUAGAAAACCUGUGAGCAGCAAAUGCCACGACAAGAGGAGGGCAGCACCAAAGAGACACUGUGAAGGAAGAUCAUCUGUUGACUGGCUAAAUGAAAGAAGUAAUGGAGAUGUGUUCAUGUCUGAGGUAGCACAGCCAGCCUAUGGCAGUCUUCUCCCAUCUAUGGUUACUAAGUGUUGUCCAACGAUGACCAUACAGCUACCUUCAUCUCUGACAUCAAUGUCUGUCCCAAUAAUAGCUAAUGGAUAG
rnacentral:lncRNA from 1 species